AAUGAACGCUGGCGGCAUGCCUAACACAUGCAAGUCGAACGAAAGCACGGGAAGCUUGCUCCCCUGCUGUUGGCGGCGGACGGGUGAGUAACACAUGGAUCGCCUACCUCUAUGACUGGGGUGACUUCGGGGGACAAUAUCUACUACCGGAUAAUAUUUCGAACCGGAUGGAUCAAGAGUUCAAGACGCUCUUGCUGUUUGUUAUAGCUGAAUCCGCGUUGCAUUAGCUAGUUGGUAAGGUAACGGCUUACCAAGGCUACGAUGCAUAGCCGACCUGAGAGGGUGAUCAGCCACACUGGAACUGAGACACGGUCCAGACUCCUACGGGAGGCAGCAGUAGGGAAUCUUACGCAAUGGGCGAAAGCCUGAUCGAGCAACACCGCGUGAGUGAUGAAGGUCUUCGGAUUGUAAAGCUCUGUUGUUAGGAAAGAACAGAAGCGGAUUUAACCGUGCAGAUCUUGACGGUACCUAAAGAAUAAGCCCCGGCUAACUACGUG
rnacentral:rRNA from 1 species